AACGAACGCUGGCGGCAUGCCUAACACAUGCAAGUCGAACGAGACCUUCGGGUCUAGUGGCGCACGGGUGCGUAACGCGUGGGAACCUGCCCUUAGGUUCGGAAUAACUCCCCGAAAGGGGUGCUAAUACCGGAUAAUGUCUUCGGACCAAAGAUUUAUCGCGUUUGGAUGGGCCCGCGUUGGAUUAGCUAGUUGGUAGGGUAAAAGCCUACCAAGGCGACGAUCCAUAGCUGGUCUGAGAGGAUGAUCAGCCACACUGGGACUGAGACACGGCCCAGACUCCUACGGGAGGCAGCAGUGGGGAAUAUUGGACAAUGGGCGAAAGCCUGAUGCAGCAAUGCCGCGUGAGUGAUGAAGGCCUGAGGGUUGUAAAGCUCUUUUACCCGGGAUGAUAAUGACAGUACCGGGAGAAUAAGCUCCGGCUAACUCCGUG
rnacentral:rRNA from 1 species